AUCCGGCUGACGAGUCUCAAAUAGGACGAAGUGGCGCGCAUUCUGGAU
rnacentral:hammerhead_ribozyme from 1 species